AUGCGAAACCGUCCCGGUGUUCACGCCGGGAUGGUCAUCGGGGCGUGGUGACCCCGGUCUGAUGAGCAGCCAGAA
rnacentral:hammerhead_ribozyme from 2 species